rnacentral:lncRNA from 1 species
GUAACGCUGAUACGUACAGCAGCUUUCUAUUUAUAGCAAGAAAGUAUUUUAGUUCGUUCUCUCUCUCUCUCUGUAUCUCUCCUUUCCCCGCUCUGACCUUCCCAUCCCCACCUUCCUCACGUGUGUGUGUGUGUGUGUGUGUGUGUGUGCGCGUGUGUGUGUGACGUAAGGAAAGAGUUUUGUUUCAAAAAUUAUUCUUUUUUUUUUUUGGUAGCAAGGAUCAAACCCAGGCCCUUGUGCUUGCGGGGCAGGUGGCAAAAAAUUAUUCUUUUGAGAGUCGAUGAGAGCUUGAGCUUUACCCCCGACUGUACAAGCCCUGACUCUCUGGCCUCUGAUUGAGGACAGGUCUGACACCAGGCAAAGGCGGGGUGCAGUGAAGGAAGGACUGAGGCCUGUGCCCCAUCUAGAGACUAAAGUGGAGCCCUCCAGACAGCGAGGGCAGGGAGCACAGCCCCAGGCGCUCCGAUCGGUUAGGUUUUCGAAGAAGCUGCAAAUCCAGGUUUUUAUGUGAACUCUCCCAAUUCUGAGAUGUUGACAACUCACUCCAUUUUCCCACGAGGUCCCAAACAGCGGCUCAGUGGGUCUGGGGUGUGGCCCCGGGGCGGCCCACAGCAGAAACACAGAGCCCAGCCACAGGAGGGUCGGGAGCAGGGGCACUGGGGCCUGGGCCGUGCCGGGUGCGAGAAAACAGCUCAGAUGGGGAAAGGAAGACGAAAAGGUUUUGUUACCUUGCAUCAGAAGCAAAGAAGAAUUCCACGGCUUUGUCGCCCACAGCGUGAAGGCAGGUGGAGCUGUCCAGCCUCUUCAUCCUCUUUUUACAGAUAUUCUUCACAUUCUCAACAUUGCCUAGUAUAUAAAGGAAUCAGUUGCAAACCCCCAGAGCCU